rnacentral:tRNA from 1 species
GGGUUUGUAACUCAGUGGAUAAGAGUACACGUCUCCGAAGCGUGUUGUCGAGGGUUCAAUUCCCUCCUGACCCG